UUCACAUCACAUUUAAAAGAUCUCGGUAAUAAAAAUUAAUUAUUUAAAAUUUUGAAAAUUAGCAUCGGAACUUUAACAUAACGAUAUUCUUUUUGAAGAUUUAAUUGGGCAAAUAAUAUUCCCUUGGGAUGUAUUCCGGCUUUGGGCUACUCGGCUCGAUUCCAAGCAAUUCUCCCAUGAAUGCGAUGUAAGUAAUUGCUAGACGCAGUGUCUCGAUCCUCGAGAGUCGUUUUUCAUACGCGAAUGUUGGAACCUGAAGACACCGGCGGAGACUCAACACGUGAUUUUAACGCGUGGCGAUAUAAGGCGCGGUUUAUUGCGUCGCAUUAUAAGUUUGUCAAAAGCUUCAUUAAGAUUAAACAUUCUACGCCUCUCACGAAUAUUCGCGGCUCUUCUCUGUGAGACAGUCGCUACUCGACGUCUUGGUUUCUUCGUGGUGGAUGAUGGAAGAUUGGGAGAUCUACCAUUAGAUACCAAAACAAAGAAUCCAAAGAAUUGAAACAGAAUUUUAAAUACAAGAUUUAUAAAAAUUUUUGAAUAAUUUCUACCCACUGGUGCUUGAUUUCCAUUGAUCUCCCACAGCGGUUCGGUGUAGCUCAUAUCCCGGAUUCUGUCCAGCGGUGAACGUCUUCAGAGGGACACUCCGUUGUUUAUUAAUAAAAAAAAAAAAAUAGCGAACACUGUUUGCAGAAAUAGCACUUCGUCACCGACACGAUGUCACCUUCGAUCUGAGGGUGUCGAAGAGAUUCCCGUCUAGGAAGAGGAAGCCUCUAACCCGCCCCUUUACAAAGCUACCCUUUGAUUCACCAUUCCGUAAACGCCUGCGUACAAUCGUGGUUACUAUUGGAGUAACUCACCCUGAAUGUGCUUCCACGAAUCACCAUCAUUGGAUAAGGGGUUGCCAAUGGGCGGAGCUUCGGAACAACCCUCAUGGCUCUGUUUCCGUAAAAGUUGAAGAACGAUAUCGACCGUGAUAUUUUAAAGAUGAACAAAUUAUUCGGAAUUUUGGAAAAUGUUUAAUAAAGAAGCCAAAAUGAUUUGAGGAGAAGGAUUAUUUAUUUUAAGAAGGAUUGACAGAUCAUCCACUUGUGAAUACAUACUGGCACGUGUAUUUAAUAGAGCGUAAUCAUCCUAUCAAUGUAUUAAAUACAGUUCAGUUAUCAACAUUUUGUCAUAAGUAAUCUGUUGAAAAGAAUUUUGUUUAUAUUGAACAAAUUAACUAUUGAAGAUAUUACGUUGGUGAAGUAUCCAUCUCGAGACAAAUUGCUUCAUAAAUCGAGCUCGUAACAGGAUCACACUCGAACUGUGACGAAAUCUCCUCAGAAGGGUAACAUAUUGUUGAACCGAGGGGGUGUGUUCCCCUAAAAUUAAUUAAAUAGAUAUUAGUCGAUUCACUUGACGCGGACUUCCCUCUGCUAACGCGUAUAAACAUCGGGCACACUGCCUCCGUGUCAAAUCGUAUUGUGUUUGCUUCGAGAGCUGAGGGUGCAUAAACUUAUUAAUAUGCAGCCACGAGCAGUCAUCCUAAUAGGAUCAUCCCUUUUUCUUGUCAUUCUUUCACGAUGUUAUUGCUGCCCUUUACGUGUGUUGUUAUUUUAUCUACGUAUCUCUGUUAUAGCAUUAAUCUUAGGGUUAUUUUAACCUAAAAUGUACGAAAUUUAUUUGUGAACAGCCUGAUACCUAUUUCGCUGAUUUGUAUCUGUUAACUGUGUUGGUGGAUCUUUAAUUUGAGCUUGGUAAUAUGCACUAUAUCCAUAACUGCAAGCUGACGCUCUGGAUCGAUGCUCUGAGCGUCGGCGCUGAAAUGUUUCAUGGCUGAAUUUCGAAGGUUUUCUGGGAUGAAAGAUAUUUGAUGUACCAAAAAAUCAGAGGGAAUGUCCCAUACUGUAAAAUAUACAAUUGAAUCAAAUUGAUUGUAAUAUAAUCAGAUCUGUUAAAAGGCAGUGUUCGUCAACCACAAUAAGGAAAAUCCGUACAAUGACAAACAGGGUGACAAAAGUCGGUACAUCCCUUCAUGGUGCACGUGUUCGUUUGAUCUAAUUCUGAUGUGUUUCUAACAAUGGACGAAUCUUCCGCAACAGUGUCACGCCACUGACAGAAAUUACGCAAUUUCGUCACAGGGAUUUCCAGCUUUUUCAAUGGGCUUAAUGAUACCUUAUAUUUCAUCAAAGUGUAUACGCUACUGAGGACUUUUACGGAUAGCUUACUGCGCAUGCACUGGGACUACCCAACACUGCAUUAGUGUUCCCGCGUCGAAGUAACACUAAACGGUGCAUUACUUACCCUUCGUUGCUAAUUAAACUUAUGGACAUACUACACUCUCCGGUUGAAGUUGGCGCAGGCGAUGACGGUUCAGAUGAUAGAAACGACUGUGGUUCGCUACUCCAUCCGGUACCUAAAAUAUGUGCACAUUUACAUUAAAUAAAUGAAAGGUGUUGGUGUGAUAUACCUAAGAGGCAAUCACUUCAUCUUUAUUUAAAGAUACACAGUGAGAAUUGAAACUAACAAGAAAUAAGGUAUCUAAGAACCACUUGAAGCUUCGGAGGAUACACAGCUUCCAGGUCGGAAGAGUGGUACUCGCGAUUGAUUCCUCCGAUACCGAGAUUUUGAUUAACAGACUCGUGCGUUGAUCCACCAGGAGAAG